rnacentral:rRNA from 1 species
UACAGAGGGUGCAAGCGUUGUUCGGAAUUAUUGGGCGUAAAGCGCGUGUAGGCGGCUUUGCAAGUCGGGUGUGAAAGCCCUCAGCUCAACUGAGGAAGUGCGCCCGAAACUGCAGAGCUUGAGUACCGGAGAGGAUGGUGGAAUUCCCCAAGUAGAGGUGAAAUUCGUAGAUAUGGGGAGGAACACCGGUGGCGAAGGCGACCAUCUGGACGGAUACUGACGCUGAGACGCGAAAGCGUGGGGAGCAAACAGGG